rnacentral:rRNA from 1 species
UGAACGCUGGCGGUAGGCCUACCACAUGCACAUCGAACGGCAGCACAGUAAGAGCUUGCUCUUACGGGUGGCGAGUGGCGGACGGGUGAGGAAUACAUCGGAAUCUACUUUUUCGUGGGGGAUAACGUAGGGAAACUUACGCUAAUACCGCAUACGACCUACGGGUGAAAGCAGGGGAUCUUCGGACCUUGCGCGAUUGAAUGAGCCGAUGUCGGAAUAGCUAGUUGGCGGGGUAAAGGCCCACCAAGGCGACGAUCCGUAGCUGGUCUGAGAGGAUGAUCAGCCACACUGGAACUGAGACACGGUCCAGACUCCUACGGGAGGCAGCAGUGGGGAAUAUUGGACAAUGGGCGCAAGCCUGAUCCAGCCAUACCGCGUGGGUGAAGAAGGCCUUCGGGUUGUAAAGCCCUUUUGUUGGGAAAGAAAAGCAGCAGGUUAAUACCCCGCUGUUCUGACGGUACCCAAAGAAUAAGCACCGGCUAACUUCGUG